AAAUAAGAUAAAAAAUUUAGUUUCGACCUAAAUAAUGAAAAUCCUCUUUUCCUUAUUUA
rnacentral:tRNA from 1 species